rnacentral:lncRNA from 1 species
ACUUAACAGUAACAAGUCACCAGGACCAGAUGGCAUUCAACCAAGAGUUCUGAAAAGAACUCAAAUGUGAAACUGCAGAACUAUUAACUAUGGUUUGUAACCUGUCCUUUAAAUUGGCUUCUGUACCCCGUGACUGGAAGAUAGCUAACAUAACACCAAUAUUUAAAAAGGGCUCCAGAGGUGAUCCCGGCAAUUACAGACCAGAUUCCUCCAAACGCAAAGCUCUUUUUCGAAGUUGAAUUGGUGGAUAUUGAUUGAUAUGAAGAACUUGUUUCUUCGGUGCUGUGAAUUCAUCAAUAAGUGAGAAGACAUCUGUCCACUGCAGUUCUGUUCUUACAGCUUCAGGAAGUAGUCCCAAUGGUGGCCUUCUGUUUUGAAAAUCAUUUUGUUUUUCCCCCAAUUGCUGUACAGUAAAACAUCACUAAAGAAAAUAGAUUAUGCAUACAGGUAGUUUAACUGACUUUUUUUUCACUUGUGCUUCCAUACUUCAGUAAACUUAUCUGGAAAAUCUGUUGUUCUGUAGUGGAAGCGGACAUUGGGUUUAUCUGUACAUGUGAUUUACACAAUCUGUUGCAAACGGGGAAGGGAAACACACAAAUUUUGUCAGCAUUUUUUCCCUCCCUGUUGGCCUGGUUGCUAAACAUUCCCUCCUAUGCUGUUGUACUCUCUGCCUUCCAUUAAGCCCCAUAGCAGUGCCUGGUUCAGAUCCAUGUAAGCUGGGUCUGUCUUUCCACUUUUGUAGUUUGGCUCACGGAAAACACUGUUUAAGGCUCAGCACGCAAUGAAUUAGCCUCUUCAGCCUUGCCAACCUCUUACUGCAGUUGGCUAAGUUGUCUUUAGUUUAGCUUCCUGAUCACAGCAGUGACAUGAGUGAAUUUUUUUUUUAGUGGUCAGCAAACUGGACUCUAUUUGGAAAGGAGGGGGGUGGAAAGAAACACCACUAAGAAAGAAAUGAGUAAGAAGCUCAUAGUAACCUUCCAGGCAUUGCUCAAGAUUUAGCUGAACCCUCUGGAGGUGACAGCAUCUGGUUCUUCUUGACCUUUUUGGAACAAUUGACCAAGGGUUGCUGUGGAUUCUCCAUCUGACAAUUUUAAAAUCCAGAAUGGAUGUUUUGUGGGAGUUGGGGAGAGCAUGUACUUAACUUUUCUGUGUCUAAGUUUCCCCAUCUAUGAAGUGCAUUAUGUGCUUACCUCCUCAUUUUAAGACUUUCAGAUACACAGUAUAAGGUGGCAUCUAGGG